AUGUACUCUGCCUAAUCUCUCUCUCUCUCUCUCUCUCUCUCUCUCUUUCUCUCUCUCUCUCUCUCUUUUCAUGGCGAAGUUCAGUGUACAGGGUCUUGUUAUCCUCCUCCUCAGCGUCAUCGCCACCACCUUCGGUUCUCUUCCAUACAGAGAGAUGAAGGUCCCAGUUGCAAGAAGCCAAAGGUGGCAUGCUGAAGCAUGGAGGACACCGUACAAACCUCCGUCGCCAAAACCAAACCAACCAAGACAAUUUAUUAUCGAGCCGCCACCACCUCCAACUUUAAUCUCUUAAAAUCCAUGCCAAGUGCUCGGUUAUGUAAAUCUGAAUUUGAUUCUCUUCUAUGUCAAAUACAUUGAACUAAUAAAUUACACGUAUAAUUUGUAGUUUAGAACUGUCUAUUCUUAGACCAUUAAAAUUAUAAAUAAAUUUGGAGAGUGAUGAAAUCUAAAAAACAAAAUAUAUGUGGACUAUUAACUUGGUGCAUUUUCAUUAGCUCAAUGUCCUUUUAUCUUCCAUCAUGUAUCUAUAAAUUGUACCAUGUAUGGAAAUGGAUUAAGAUGAAUAAAAAUUACAAUUUCUCUU